CUCUGGCCCAAUACUGACACUGAGGAGCGAAAGCGUGGGGAGCGAACAGGAUUAGAUACCCUGGUAGUCCACGCCGUAAACGGUGGGCGCUAGUUGUGGGAACCUUCCACGGUUUCUGCGACGCAGCUAACGCAUUAAGCGCCCCGCCUGGGGAGUACGAUCGCAAGAUUAAAACUCAAAGGAAUUGACGGGGCCCCGCACAAGCAGCGGAGCAUGCGGCUUAAUUCGACGCAACGCGAAGAACCUUACCAAGGCUUGACAUAUACAGGAAUAUGGCAGAGAUGUCAUAGCGGUAAAACGUCUGUAUACAGGUGGUGCAUGGUUGUCGUCAGCUCGUGUCGUGAGAUGUUGGGUUAAGUCCCGCAACGAGCGCAACCCUCGUUCUGUGUUGCCAGCAUUUAGUUGGGGACUCACAGGAGACUGCCGGGGUUAACUCGGAGGAAGGUGGGGAUGACGUCAAAUCAUCAUGCCCCUUAUGUCUUGGGCUGCACGCAUGCUACAAUGGCUGGUACAAAGGGCUGCAAUACUGCAAAGUGGAGCGAAUCCCAAAAAGCCAGUCUCAGUUCGGAUUGGGGUCUGCAACUCGACCCCAUGAAGUCGGAGUUGCUAGUAAUCGUAGAUCAGCAACGCUACGGUGAAUACGUUCCCGGGGCUUGUACGCACCGCCCGUCACAUCACGAAAGUCGGUAACACCCAAAGUCAGUGGCCCAACCGCAAGGAGG
rnacentral:rRNA from 1 species